GGAGAGGUGGCCGAGAGGCUGAAGGCACUCGCCUGCUAAGCGAGUAGGGGGCUCACGCUCUCUCGCGGGUUCGAAUCCCGCCCUCUCCG
rnacentral:tRNA from 2 species